rnacentral:tRNA from 1 species
GGGGCUGUAACUCAGUGGCAGAGUGCUUGCCUAGCAUGCAUGAGGCACUGGGUUUGAUCCUCAGCAUCA